rnacentral:lncRNA from 1 species
UGACCAACUAAUGGUCUUCACGGCCUGAAAGCAGAGUGUCGGAAGCAAGCACUUCUGAAGAGCCACAGAGCAGACUGCUUUUACAGCGACCUGCAAAGGGCAGCCCACCCCAGACAUGAAUGUGGUGGGUGGUCCCACAGCCACUGUUCAUACAGCAAUGAACAGGGUUAAAUGCCAUUAAUAAUUCCCCAUUCAGUACCAUCAUGACCCAAAGAAAUUGUUUCUGCAUCAUCAACUCCUGGCAGUGACUUCGCUGUAUUUGAACUGCCAUUUCUCACAAAUAAUGGCCUUUUAUCCCACUUGAAACCUGUCACCUGGAACAAAUAAGGUCUUUACACGUCCCAGAAAAUGAGAGAAUUUUCUCCACAAACUAUAUUAUUUUUUACUUAUUCCCUACCCUGACAUAAUACGAGAGGUUAACCUGCUGGAAAGGUUGCAUUCCCAUCCCCCCAAAAUAUGAGCCACCCCCAUAAAAAUGCAGUGAGGACUGCUCAUAUAAGGGAAAAA